rnacentral:rRNA from 1 species
GGUUAAGCGACUAAGCGUACACGGUGGAUGCCCUGGCAGUCAGAGGCGAUGAAGGACGUGCUAAUCUGCGAAAAGCGUCGGUAAGGUGAUAUGAACCGUUACAGCCGGCGAUGUCCGAAUGGGGAAACCCAGUGCAAUUCGUUGCACUAUCGUUAACUGAAUACAUAGGUUAACGAGGCGAACCGGGGGAACUGAAACAUCUAAGUACCCCGAGGAAAAGAAAUCAACCGAGAUUCCCCCAGUAGCGGCGAGCGAACGGGGAGCAGCCCAGAGUCUGAAUCAGCUUGUGUGUUAGUGGAACGGUCUGGAAAGUCCGACGGUACAGGGUGAUAGUCCCGUACACCAAAAUGCACAGGUUGUGAACUCGAAGAGUAGGGCGGGACACGUGGUAUCCUGUCUGAAUAUGGGGGGACCAUCCUCCAAGGCUAAAUACUCCUGACUGACCGAUAGUGAACCAGUACCGUGAGGGAAAGGCGAAAAGAACCCCGGCGAGGGGAGUGAAAAAGAACCUGAAACCGUGUACGUACAAGCAGUGGGAGCACCUUCGGGUGUGACUGCGUACCUUUUGUAUAAUGGGUCAGCGACUUAUAUUCUGUAGCAAGGUUAACCGUAUAGGGGAGCCGCAGGGAAACCGAGUCUUAACUGGGCGUUAAGUUGCAGGGUAUAGACCCGAAACCCGGUGAUCUAGCCAUGGGCAGGUUGAAGGUUGGGUAACACUAACUGGAGGACCGAACCGACUAAUGUUGAAAAAUUAGCGGAUGACUUGUGGCUGGGGGUGAAAGGCCAAUCAAACCGGGAGAUAGCUGGUUCUCCCCGAAAGCUAUUUAGGUAGCGCCUCGUGAAUUCAUCUUCGGGGGUAGAGCACUGUUUCGGCUAGGGGGUCAUCCCGACUUACCAACCCGAUGCAAACUACGAAUACCGAAGAAUGUUAUCACGGGAGACACACGGCGGGUGCUAACGUCCGUCGUGAAGAGGGAAACAACCCAGACCGCCAGCUAAGGUCCCAAAGUCAUGGUUAAGUGGGAAACGAUGUGGGAAGGCACAGACAGCCAGGAUGUUGGCUUAGAAGCAGCCAUCAUUUAAAGAAAGCGUAAUAGCUCACUGGUCGAGUCGGCCUGCGCGGAAGAUGUAACGGGGCUAAACCAUGCACCGAAGCUGCGGCAGCGACACUAUGUGUUGUUGGGUAGGGGAGCGUUCUGUAAGCCUGCGAAGGUGACCUGUGAGGGUUGCUGGAGGUAUCAGAAGUGCGAAUGCUGACAUAAGUAACGAUAAAGCGGGUGAAAAGCCCGCUCGCCGGAAGACCAAGGGUUCCUGUCCAACGUUAAUCGGGGCAGGGUGAGUCGACCCCUAAGGCGAGGCCGAAAGGCGUAGUCGAUGGGAAACAGGUUAAUAUUCCUGUACUUGGUGUUACUGCGAAGGGGGGACGGAGAAGGCUAUGUUAGCCGGGCGACGGUUGUCCCGGUUUAAGCAUGUAGGCUGGUUGUCCAGGCAAAUCCGGAUAAUCAAGGCUGAGGUGUGAUGACGAGGCACUACGGUGCUGAAGUAACAAAUGCCCUGCUUCCAGGAAAAGCCUCUAAGCAUCAGGUAACAUUAAAUCGUACCCCAAACCGACACAGGUGGUCAGGUAGAGAAUACCAAGGCGCUUGAGAGAACUCGGGUGAAGGAACUAGGCAAAAUGGUGCCGUAACUUCGGGAGAAGGCACGCUGGUGUGUAGGUGAAGUCCCUGCGGAUGGAGCUGAGACCAGUCGAAGAUACCAGCUGGCUGCAACUGUUUAUUAAAAACACAGCACUGUGCAAACACGAAAGUGGACGUAUACGGUGUGACGCCUGCCCGGUGCCGGAAGGUUAAUUGAUGGGGUUAUCCGUAAGGAGAAGCUCUUGAUCGAAGCCCCGGUAAACGGCGGCCGUAACUAUAACGGUCCUAAGGUAGCGAAAUUCCUUGUCGGGUAAGUUCCGACCUGCACGAAUGGCGUAAUGAUGGCCAGGCUGUCUCCACCCGAGACUCAGUGAAAUUGAACUCGCUGUGAAGAUGCAGUGUACCCGCGGCAAGACGGAAAGACCCCGUGAACCUUUACUAUAGCUUGACACUGAACAUUGAGCCUUGAUGUGUAGGAUAGGUGGGAGGCUUUGAAGCGUGGACGCCAGUCUGCGUGGAGCCAACCUUGAAAUACCACCCUUUAAUGUUUGAUGUUCUAACGUUGGCCCCUUAUCGGGGUUGCGGACAGUGUCUGGUGGGUAGUUUGACUGGGGCGGUCUCCUCCCAAAGCGUAACGGAGGAGCACGAAGGUUAGCUAAUCCUGGUCGGACAUCAGGAGGUUAGUGCAAUGGCAUAAGCUAGCUUGACUGCGAGCGUGACGGCGCGAGCAGGUGCGAAAGCAGGUCAUAGUGAUCCGGUGGUUCUGAAUGGAAGGGCCAUCGCUCAACGGAUAAAAGGUACUCCGGGGAUAACAGGCUGAUACCGCCCAAGAGUUCAUAUCGACGGCGGUGUUUGGCACCUCGAUGUCGGCUCAUCACAUCCUGGGGCUGAAGUAGGUCCCAAGGGUAUGGCUGUUCGCCAUUUAAAGUGGUACGCGAGCUGGGUUUAGAACGUCGUGAGACAGUUCGGUCCCUAUCUGCCGUGGGCGCUGGAGAAUUGAGGGGGGCUGCUCCUAGUACGAGAGGACCGGAGUGGACGCAUCACUGGUGUUCGGGUUGUCAUGCCAAUGGCACUGCCCGGUAGCUAAAUGCGGAAGAGAUAAGUGCUGAAAGCAUCUAAGCACGAAACUUGCCCCGAGAUGAGUUCUCCCUGAGACUUUAAGUCUCCUGAAGGAACGUUGAAGACGACGACGUUGAUAGGCCGGGUGUGUAAGCGCAGCGAUGCGUUGAGCUAACCGGUACUAAUGAACCGUGAGGCUUAACCUU